rnacentral:rRNA from 1 species
GACGAACGCUGGCGGCGUGCUUAACACAUGCAAGUCGAACGAUGAAGCCGGAGCUUGCUCCGGUGGAUUAGUGGCGAACGGGUGAGUAACACGUGAGCAAUCUGCCCUUGACUCUGGGAUAACUGCGGGAAACUGUAGCUAAUACCGGAUACGACACCUUGGGGCAUCCCAGGGUGUGGAAAGAAUUUCGGUCAAGGAUGAGCUCGCGGCCUAUCAGCUAGUUGGUGAGGUAAUGGCUCACCAAGGCGACGACGGGUAGCCGGCCUGAGAGGGUGACCGGCCACACUGGAACUGAGACACAGUCCAGACUCCUACGGGAGGCAGCAGUGGGGAACAUUGCACAAUGGGCGCAAGCCUGAUGCAGCAACGCCGCGUGAGGGAUGACGGCCUUCGGGUUGUAAACCUCUUUUAGUAGGGAAGAAGCGAAAGUGACGGUACCUGCAGAAAAAGCACCGGCUAACUACGUGCCAGCCGCCGCGGUAA